UUUCCGCCAGUGUGUCUGUUUACGUAUAAAAUUACAGAUGGAGAACGUGUGCAGCCUCUGCCUGGACGUGUCCAGGGGGAACGGGAAAACGUCAGCCGCGUCCAGGAAUGAGAAGCCAAGCGUGGCUCAGGCAGAGCCUGACGGGGUCGGUUCUCCCACAAAGGCAGAAAGUCGGGGAAUUCCAGGCUCGGUGGAAAAGGUAACCUGAACUAUUCUGCAGCGUUCGUCCAAUUGCACGUCUCCCUCAAAACCUCACUGACCCUGGAAGCACUUGUUUUAAAGUCUUGGUUGAAACAAAACUGGGAUUUUUAAGAAAAAUAACAAAUUUCUGGUACUUUAAGAUGUGAACGGUUUUAAGCUUUUACUGGCUUCUGUCAAAAUCAAAUUGGAGCAACUUCAGUCUCAGCUGCACCCAAAGUGGACGAAAACCCGGUUCUAUCCCCAAGGAACCGACAGCCAGGACGCGGCUGCGAGAACUGUGAUCCAGCUGGCAUCGCUGUCGGUGGUGUUCUCCUGUCCGGACGCGGAGGUGGGGCUGGCCGCUCGCUGUGCCCGUCCAGUGGGUCACCUCCCUCCACUGCCUGCCUGUGUCACGUUGCGUUUCAUUGCGAACAAGAUGAAAACAAAGACUGAAAGCAUAAGCCCGAAUGGGACUAAAGCUGGAAAGCGGCAAUUACGUGGAGCUGAGAAGGGAGUUGCUGACGCUCAUCAGACGAAAGUGAAUGUCCUUUUCUGUGGAAACAUCUCAUUAAUGCACGUUUCUUGGGUUUGGCUUUUCAGGAUCACAAGCAGGAAGACAUUAUAGAUAAAGAAAACACACACGUGUAUCUAGGACAUUUGCUGUGUUACUUCAAAGGAGGCAAACUGGAACAGGGACGAAGUCGUCAUGACCCGACACGGCCUGGCCUCUGGUGGGCUCCGAACCUCCGGACUGUCCGACGGGCUGAGACGCGGGCUGGGAGAGGGGCUCAGAGCAGCCCCGGGGCAUAUGGGAUGCUGUGCAGCCCAAGGCUGGGGCCUGCAGACAGCCUGCUGGGGUCUGUGAGUCGGAAUUGACUCGAGGCCACUAACAACAAGGGUGUGCGCACCUUCGUCUUUGCGAGACAGUAUCAAGUCGGCCUCUGCGCUGGUCACACCAGUUCACACUCCCACCAGCAACAUCCGGAAGUCCCAGUUGGUCUACGUCCCCCCAGUGCAUCUCAGGGUUUCUUCCUCUCAGCACUCGUGACUUCUGAGCUGGACAGUUCCCUGCGGGGUCUGUCCUGUAGCUGUGGGACGUUGAGCCACAUCCCUGGCCUCUACCCAGUAAAUGCCAGUAGCACCCCUGGUUGUGACAAUCAAACAUGACUCCAGACGUUGCCAGAUGUCACCGGGGGACAAAGUCACCUCAGCAGAGAACCACUGGUGUGUCUCAAGUUUCGUCAACGUCGUGUCAACGACAUCACUGUUGUCUUGGUUGCGUCUCUAACGACGAGUACGACUGAGCCUCCUGUCAGGACUCGGGCUUCGUGUUUCCUCUGUGAGAGUUUCCUGUUCGUAACUUGUGCCCAUUUUUAUAUUGGGUUGUUUGGUUUGUUCUUACACAUUUAUACAUUCCUUCAGUAUUUCAGAUACUUAUCUUUUGUUAGUUAUUCCAGUGGUCUUUCUGCACCAAAACAAUGUUCAUAAAUUUAUGCUUAUAAAGAUGGGAAACAAGCAUAUUGAAUUAAUAAAGCUCCAUGCAUUUUUAAAUAGAUGAGCUUUAAGAAUCCUUGGACAAUUUGAUCUUUCACUUUCUUUUAACCUUAAGCAAGAAGAGACAAUUUUUUAAAAAUUUCUUUCUGCCUUCGCAUUUUUUAAAUUUUUUACUCAAGUGCUGAUAAUCAGGAGUUGUUGUCAAGACUUUGGUUGAAAUCAAUCACAAUUUUGAGAAAAAUUAUCUCAAAGAUUUUUUUAUCUGAAAACAUUAACUAAUGAAGUUAUUAAUUAACUCUAAAAUGUUAAAGAUUUUUCUCACUGUAAGGAUUAUGGUGAGGUUUAACAUAAAUUAUUUUCUUGCUUUCAAGGAAGAUUUGUGGAGGAUGAGGAUCUGCUCUAGGUAGGACACUGCAGAUGUCAUAGAGUUGAGCAGAACAGCCUCCACUUGAGCAGUUUAUGAUUAGUUGGAAAAAUUAGACACUGAUGAGAAUAAUAUAACAGCAGAAUUUAACAGUUCGUAAAAACAAAAAGUGCUCACCUGCAGCCACACGCCUUGAUUCUGCAAACCUUCCCUGUGCACGAAAUUCAGGUCAGAGUCUGCCCUGAGGGGCGUCCAGUCCAGUGGAGCAGUCGGAGCGUGUGCCCCAAGGAAGCCGAGGUGGUUUUUUCUGGUUGUGAAGCUUCGAAAAGGUUAAAGAAGCAGAGACCUUCCGAUCCAGGCCUUAAGGAACAAGGAGACCGUCUCGGGGAGAAGUCUGCGUUCUGGCCGGCACACGGCUUUGCACCUUUGCGUCGCAGAAACAAGUGCAGCCUUGAACUUGGCAAAGGCUUGUGGGCGGAGACCUGCACCCUGGGACCCACGACUGGGGGACUCCACUGGCCCCUCGAAGCCCCCUUUCCUCGUCCCCCAGGGCAUCAUCAUAUAAAAAUAGUCAUUGCCUAUAAAAAUGCCAAUUCUUGUGUAAUUUUUAAGAAAACUACAGAGAAAUGCAUUUAUCUUCAUCAUCCUCGAUUAAAAGUCCAGUGUGCAGAUUCGUUGUCUGGAGAUGGAAGAGCUGCACCCACUGGGGGCGGGUGGGGCUCCUUCAGAGGCAGGAGGACUGACCUAGGCUCCCUCCCUCCCGCCUCUGUCUUUCAUUCGUUCUCAGUGUCUAACUUAGAACCUGUGAACAAAAAAAAGAAAUGAGUGUCUGGCCAGCUAGUCCUUCAGCUCCUGGAUGCAGGCGUCACGGAGAGAGUGCUGCCCCGGCCUUGACGGGUGUGAGCCAUUAACCUUCAAGCUGAUUCUGGAGACACUGUCGUGACAGUGUAACUGAAAGUUCGGUCUCUGAACCCGACGCCAAUCCAAAUAACGAGAACAGAGUCUUGAGCGGAAGAGGAAAGGUUUUUACUAUGCCAGGCACAGGGAGCAAAGCAAGGGCUCGUACCUCGAAAAUUGCUAGCUCCCCAAUGAGGAAUGGGAACAAGUACCAAGUGAGAUUUCCUUCGUGUAAAUUUUGGUGUGGUCUUCCCCGUGGAAAGGGUGCAGGCGUUUCUGGUGCUCGCCCAGCGAGGUCGCUCCUCUCUCUGCACCUCCUCCCCUUCUUCAGGCCACGCUGGCUGCCUGUUCCAGAGGCGACGGUGUGAGAUGCCGGCUUAGGGACAGAAAACCUGAGGCUGAAUCCCCAUCUUGCAACUUGCGAGGAUCCUAUGCGGUCUCCAGAAUCCUCCCAGAAGGCCUGCGCCACGCCGUGUGUCCAUCUGCUCUUGUCUCCAAGGAUCUUUGGUCAACCCUGCUGGGAGGGGCCGGGCUUUGUCCCGAGGACCCAGAGUCUCGCCGAGUCUUUGUCCAAGGACAGAGUGAUGGUGUGUCAACGUCGAGGAGCAUCUAUGGAGACGAGACGGAAAGGACUGUCGUUAGAGUCGGUAUCCAGGGACAGGCUGAGAACUACAGGCCAGAGCAAAGUUCCCAGCACGUGGUUCUCAAGGCCUGUGGCUGGAGCUGCAGCAGCCCUGGGACUGGUCACAGAUGCAUCCUGGGGCCCAGCACACGUCUCCUGGGCCAGGGGCUCGAGAGGCCUGUGUUUGGCAAGUGCACUCCCGCUCGCCGUGACAAGCUGAGGGGACAAGCGUUGCCCUUCUCCGUCGGCAGCCUUUUCCAGAUAAAAGACUCAGACUCAGACAGGGAGCCUGCUACCUGGAAGUCAUUCGGCCCCUUUGCCAGGAGGCCCUCGACGACCUCGGAGUACGUUUGAAAACCACAGCCCUCCAAGAGCCGGCAACUGCAGGGCGGUUUUGA
ensembl:lncRNA